UACGUAGGGGGCAAGCGUUGUCCGGAAUUACUGGGCGUAAAGCGCGUGUAGGUGGGAGAGCAAGUCCGGUGGGAAAGCCCGCGGCUCAACCGCGGAAGGUCGCUGGAAACUGCUUUUCUUGAGGGUGAUAGAGGGAAGUGGAAUUGCUGGUGUAGCGGUGAAAUGCGUAGAUAUCAGCAGGAACACCCGUGGCGAAGGCGGCUUCCUGGAUCACCCCUGACACUGAGACGCGAAAGCGUGGGGAGCGAACGGG
rnacentral:rRNA from 1 species